rnacentral:rRNA from 1 species
UAGGGAAUCUUCCACAAUGGGCGCAAGCCUGAUGGAGCAACACCGCGUGAGUGAAGAAGGGUUUCGGCUCGUAAAGCUCUGUUGUUAAAGAAGAACACGUAUGAGAGUAACUGUUCAUACGUUGACGGUAUUUAACCAGAAAGUCACGACUAACUACAUGCCAG